CUUGUUUAAAUAAACAUUCAAAACAACUGUGUAAAGGAUUCCUUUCUUACCACCUUAAAGUGCAUACCAUUAGCUACACAGAAGUGUAUUUCUGCCUGAGUUUCCCCUGCUUCUUUUGGAAAGACCUCAUGUAUCUAUAGCAGCAGUGUGAGCAAAACAGCUUUGCACUCAUUGCAAAACGCACAGAAAGGGAGUUGGCUCAGGAGUGUACUAUUAGUCUGUUCCCAAUUCUCUCAUACUAUUUCACCUCUUACUAGAGGAGGGGCUAAUACUCCAAAAUAGUGAAGUAUUGGCAGAAGAUUUGUUGCAGACAUUUUAUCACUUCAGUGGAUGAAAUCUGACCAUCAUAAUUAUCAUGAAUACCAAGGCCAGAUAUAAUAAGAUAACUGUUGUUAUACUGUUUCCAGAUGAUAUUCUUAGACACAAUAAAUGUUAAAAAAACAGAACCCACACCUGGUUUUGAGGUAGGAAAAAUUUUAAAAAGGACGGUGAAUGCUAUUGAGCCAACCAUCAGCAGAAACCAGCUCCCUGCCUUACAGAGAGUCCAUACAGCAGCUGAACAGACAAUCAGCUAGGAAGCACCUUCUGGACAUAAACCAGCUGGAUUUCUGAUGCUUACCCACCAGGGAGCCAGCAGGAUGGACAAUAAAGCACUCUCAGAAACCACACCUCAAACGCCAAGGAGAUGAGGCCCGAGGCAGUCUGUGGAAAAGGCUUUGGAGAAGCUAAAUAGAAGAAGGGAAGAAAGGCAGUUAGCAAGGCACUUGGAAGUUUAGGCGAGCCAGCAGCAAGCCACUCGGUGAUCCAUACAAGCAGCCAGAGAAAG
rnacentral:lncRNA from 1 species